CCUACGGGAGGUAGCAGUGGGGAAUCUUGGGCAAUGGGCGCAAGCCUGACCCAGCAACGCCGCGUGAAUGAAGAAGGCUUUCGGGUUGUAAACUUCUUUUAAGAGGGAAGAGUAGAAGACGGUACCUCUUGAAUAAGCCACGGCUAACUAAGUGCGAGACGCAGCGGUAAUAAGUAGGUGGCAAGCGUUGUCAGGAUUUACUGGGUUUAAAGGGCGUGUAGGCGGGCGGGCAAGUCAGAUGUGAAAUCCCAAGGCUCAACCUUGGAACUGCAUUUGAAACUGUUGGUCUUGAGUAUCGGAGAGGCAGGCGGAAUUCCUAGUGUAGCGGUGAAAUGCGUAGAUAUUAGGAGGAACACCAGUGGCGAAGGCGGCCUGCUGGACGACAACUGACGGUGAGGCUCGAAAGCGUGGGGAGCAAACAGGAUUAGAUACCCGUGUAGUC
rnacentral:rRNA from 1 species